GCACUGGCAAAAUCCGGUGUCGGGCGUAGGAACCCGCAAAUAACCUCUAGCAUUAUAGGUUGCUAACUUUACGUUGGUUUUUU
rnacentral:sRNA from 1 species